AAAAAGGCCCUGGAUAUGCAAUGCAGAUGGCAGCGUUCUCCCUUUCAGCAUGAGGAGCUUGGAGCUCAGUGAGCAAAAAUCAAUGAUGUGCCAUUACUGCCAGCAGAGCUCUUCCAGCUGAUGUGGCCCUCUCUUUACAUGCUGCACGAGUACAGAAUCCCUGUGAAAAGGGACAGACCAUCCUUGAAGGCUGCCAUCGCAGCCCUUACUCAUCGUGGGCUCGGGCUGUCACUGCUGCUCAAGUGAGCUCAGAGAGUUUCCAAAGGUGAUGAAGAAGGCUUGUGUCUAACUUCAUUAGGCCUGGGAAAAGGACAAGUCUUCGCACAAGAUGACCUUUGCCAACACGACCGCCUCAGAGAAGAAUGACCUUUGGCAGAGAAAAAUGACCUUUGGCAGACAAGAAGAGCUAAUUGAAACACCAGGAGACGAUCGCAGCUCUGAAGGGUAACAGAGCAAAAACACCUCUGCUUUUAGAUGCUACCUUCCCCUGCCCUUCUCCUCUGUGCAUCGCAGGGGAAAUACAUAAAUGUUUGUUAGAUUUAGUGAGUAGAUGCAUUUCCCUGUUUACAGCUCUACAAAAAUCCUCCAGCCAAGAUAAAAAAUUGCCUUGGAGAAACAAGAUUUUUUUGCCUAUUGAUUAUGUUCUUGUGUUUUUCCCAAAGACUCGUAUUAGGUCAUAAUAUAUAAAAGAAAAUAAACCUAUACUAAGCCUCUUAAAAUGGUUUGCU
rnacentral:lncRNA from 7 species